GAUUUUCUAUCAGUAGAUUCUAAGAGUAUAUCUGACCCAAAAAUGUCUCUCACUAUUUCAUCAAUUUCCAUGUUUGAAAAUAUUUAUUGUGUAUCGGCAUUGAAACCAUUAAACUGGAAUAAGUUCAAGGAAAACCGAGAGGGACACAUAAUAUCAAAAACGAAACAAUUGAAUCUGAUAAAAGUAUGAGGACGUGAAUGUUAAUACUCGAUACUGAUUUGUUGAGAAAUUUUUUCAGGCUUUUCGUUAAUAAACAUGCAUACGCA